rnacentral:lncRNA from 1 species
GUAUAUUUCAGAGACUACAACACAUUUAUUUUCCAUGAGGAUUUAUCAGUUGUAUUCCAAUCAUGUUGGCGGAUGAACUCAAUAUCCCUGAAGGAUUUCUGCUUACACAUGGAGGACCAGUUGUUUCUCAAAUAUUCUGCAAGGCAAGGUACUUCUAUAGAAGGGUGAGCCCUCACAGAUGGAGCAAUGGUGCACGCACACCUGAACAAGGGAGGGGAAGGAGUUCUUAUCCCUGAUGCAUGUGGCCCCUGCUGCUGUGUCCUUCCCCUAUUGGCUAAGGUUAGACCACACAGGCUAAACUAAUUCCGAUUGGCUAAUUUAAAGAGAGCGACGGAGUGAGUGCUUUGGCGGGAAAAAAAUGGUUAUACAGGGUGGAGAAUAAUGAGACAGGGUGGAGCAGGUAGCAGGUAACCGGAAUGAGUUAUGGUGGAGCAGGUGAUCAGGUGAUCGGAAUGAGUCAGGGUGGAGUAGGUAAUCGAAAAAGGUUGCUUUACGAGGAAGUUAAGUUUAAAAGUAG